ensembl:lncRNA
AUGUCUGCCAGCCUCCACACUGAUGUGCUUUCAUUUCAUCUAAGCCCACUUUCUGCCUCCUCCCCAAUUCCCAACCCCCUGCCAGACAGCAUGACACCUGAGAGCUAUAUGAUGCUGUUAUUCCACCUCACCCUCCCGAAUGCAGAGGACCAUAUUUCAGGAGAGCCCCCUGUUUCCUCCACCCCCUACCCAGGCUCUGUUCAGUGUCCGUCUGCCUCUUCCAGGUCAGCAAAAAUAAGCAGGAGCACAAAGGAAACCGCCAUCAGUCCUCAGGCGCUGACUGUGAGGUAGAAUGGUAGAGAGAUAGAGAUACAGAGUGAAAGAGAAAAAAAAACACUGCUCAGGAAAGGCCACAUGCAGUCACAAGCUUUGUCAAAAUGCAGAUUCUGAGGCAGAUGAGACUUAAACUGAAUUAUUUGGCUUCAACACCAAACAAAAUGUCUGACAGAAAUCCAGUACAGCUCACCAUCCAAAUAACAGCAUUCCUACAGUAAAGCAUGGAUGUGGUAAUAUCCUGUUAUGGGGUGAUUCUGUGUUUUUAUUUUUUAUGGUAUGUUGGUGUUCUAUCUUCCCCUUACAGGUGCAUCUCAAUAAAUUAGAAUGUCGUGGAAAAGUUCA